rnacentral:rRNA from 1 species
CCUACGGGUGGCAGCAGUGAGGAAUAUUGGUCAAUGGACGAGAGUCUGAACCAGCCAAGUCGCGUGAAGGAUGACUGCCCUAUGGGUUGUAAACUUCUUUUUUAUGGGAAUAAAAUGUUCCACGUGUGGGAUUUUGUAUGUACCAUAUGAAUAAGGAUCGGCUAACUCCGUGCCAGCAGCCGCGGUAAUACGGAGGAUCCGAGCGUUAUCCGGAUUUAUUGGGUUUAACGGGAGCGUAGGUGGAUUGUUAAGUCAGUUGUGAAAGUUUGCGGCUCAACCGUAAAAUUGCAGUUGAAACUGGCAGUCUUGAGUACAGUAGAGGUGGGCGGAAUUCGUGGUGUAGCGGUGAAAUGCUUAGAUAUCACGAAGAACUCCGAUUGCGAAGGCAGUUCACUGGACUGCAACUGACACUGAGGCUCGAAAGUGUGGGUAUCAAACAGGAUUAGAUACCCGGGUAGUC